CGUGGAGCUGGUGAAAUAGAGGUUAUGAUGGUACCAGUGCUGGGAGGCGCAACCAGCACCGUCUGUGACUUUGUGCCCUCCUGCUGCCGAUGGCUUAUGUGAAUGUCGCGGACAAACUGUGGCUCUGUCUGCCAUCGCUGCUGCUGCUGCCUCUCAUACUCCUCCUUUAUGUGCUCCUCCUCCACGGUCUUCAUGUCCCUCAGCACCUGCUGCCAGGAAUCUCGGGCUGAGAUCCUGUUCCACCAGUUUUGCACAUUCUUCCUUGAGUCAUACAGGUAGGCAAAUCUCUCGGAUGUAAUGACAUGGUGGGUACCAGGCAGAUGAACAAGGUCGGCAAGAGUGAACUUGUUCCCAGCAAGUGGGAAGGCGAUAUGGCAGAACAAUGCCCGGCUUGGAGGGUCGAAGGCAUGCUCCUCAUUCCGGAGCCAUUGUUCAAUGGAAGCCCUCUCAAGGACAUCCUUUCCCAGAAGGAAAGGAUACCCCUGAUGCUCAUAGGUCUCUGCUAGAUAGCGGCAGAUUGCUCUUGAAUCUGCAGUUUAUGGGACAGUUAUUCACUUGGACAACAAACAUAUGAUUCUAGUAUGUGCAUGUGUGGCUUGCAAAAUACUAUGUCACUGUAACUAUGCAACCCAAUCGUUACACAACAAGCUAGGGGCAUUACCUUGCAGAAACAGGGGACCAUCAUAGAAUGGAACCGGAACACUUCUUGAUGCCUGCAGAGACAAAUGAACAUGAUACAAACUUUAGAUGAGGGUUGAGUUGUUCUAAGCCAAACAAACUGCUGCUUCUACUAUUUGGGUGUUGCAAAGGACAUUGGGACAUAUACCUGGAGGCUGAGUAUGUCCUUGUAAGAGGCUUUGAUUGUCUCAAACUUGACAUUUUUCUCAUACAGGCAUGUGAGCACCCUUGACACAUCUGGUAGGAUCAUGGACUUCUCAUGGUACACAUUCACCACGGGAGGCCCUGCUCCAGUGCUAAGGCUUGCCAUGGAGGCAAGAGCUCAGGCUCACUGGUUGGAAGAACUGAAGUUAAUGGUGUGCAAGCGUGGUGACCCAACCGUCAUUGUUUUAAUAUUAGAAGGUUCUGUUCGUGCCUGCCUGAGGAAGCAAAGAGAAGAUGCUUAAAGUGUGGUUGAGGGAGAAGCAGGACUAGAAAUAGAUAAAAGGGAAAAGGAAAAAGAAAAGAGGAGAAAAGCAAAAGGUAAAGUUACCUACAUCUGGAGGAUUUGGAUUGUGGAUGAUCUUAUUUAUAACUUCAUGCCAUAAGUUUAUAUGUGGGGAAUUUUGAUUGUGGGCGAUGUUUAAAGGGAAAGAGCAAAAGAAGCCUAUUUGCCAAGGAACUGGGAUCAGCUGAGCUCUAUGUGGCUUUAUUCAUUCUGCACAAUUGCUCAGCUAAGUGACUUUAUUCAUUCCUUGCCGCUUUGAUCAAAGGAGAUGCAAAUUGCUGGUAGGGAAGCACACAGGUUCUGCCUAAGAAGGCAAGCUUAGCAUCAGACCUGAUGUCCCCUACACGUACCGGCGUACCAGCAGACAAACUGGAUGGGUGAUGGACGCCCUGAGUUUCCUAGGCUUUUACCAUGCAGAGAAACUUCUUUCGAAAAAAUAGCUUGUCCCCAGGGAUAGGAGCAAUAUUGAGAUUUACAUGUAGCGUGAUUAUAUUGUCUACUUUUACCCUGCAUCAAGUUCUUCCAUUGGAAUUACUCACCUAGCAAGGCUGUGGGCACCCUUGUUUGCUUUGCAUUCAUAUAAAUGAUUUCUUGAUACAGCGUAUCGAUUUGAGCUCCAUUUGAGUAAUCUGCUUUGAAGAUCUCUUGCACGCAGUCCCUGCACAGGAUAGGAUUAUCAUGAAGCAUAGAGGCUGCAAGCCCUGCAAGUAGUGUGGUCCUGCAAAGCAAACAGGCAGAGCAUGAAAGGAAGUGCUUCAGUUCGUAAUAAGGAAUACUCCUAAAUCUUAAUGCGUUCGCGCUAGUUAGUAGUUAUAAUGUUUAUUGGGCAAACCUUCUGAAACUUGGCGAUUGAAGAGAAAGAACUCCAGAUCUGCUUUUCAA